GACGUAGGGCGCGAGCGUUGUCCGGAUUUAUUGGGCGUAAAGAGCUCGUAGGCGGUUUGUCGCGUCUGGUGUGAAAAUCCAGGGCUUAACCCUGGACCUGCAUCGGGUACGGGCAGACUAGAGUGCGGUAGGGGAGAUCGGAAUUCCUGGUGUAGCGGUGAAAUGCGCAGAUAUCAGGAGGAACACCGGUGGCGAAGGCGGAUCUCUGGGCCGUAACUGACGCUGAGGAGCGAAAGCAUGGGGAGCGAACAGG
rnacentral:rRNA from 1 species